AUGCUCGCUUUGGCAGCACAUAUACUAAAAUUGAAACAAUAUAGAGAAGAUUAGCGUGGCUCCUGUACAAGGAUGACAUGCAAGUUCAUGAAGAAGUGAUGGGUCUU